rnacentral:rRNA from 1 species
UCCCAUACCGAACACGGAAGUUAAGCUCUUUAGCGCCGAUGGUAGUUGGGGGCUUCCCCCUGUGAGAGUAGGACGUUGCUAGGC